UGCCUGCCUACAGCCUCAACUCGCC
rnacentral:piRNA from 1 species